AAAAGAAAAAAUAUUAAAGGGAAAAGAGUAAAAAGUAAAAAAUUCAAAGCGAAAAGCGUAAAAAGGAAGAAGUAAAAACGAACUAGGCGAAUUUGUGGCAAAUGAAACGGGCAAAACCGAGCGGCAGGCAGGCGUGAAAUAUAACGAGAAGAAAAACAGCAGCAACAGCGCAACUCGCUGGAAAUAUUAGCAACAACAACAAAAACAACAAAUUGAUGGAAAAAACCGAGAAAAAUAAAUAGGAAUUUGAAAAACAACAACAACGCGAACGCGCAACGCCCGCAGCAAGCGUGGCACAGUAAAUUUUUGGUCCUUUGAACAAUUUGAAGCUUUCAAAUAUGCGACCAGCGAAGUGUAAGACACACACACAUAAUAAAUAAUAAACGAAAUAGCGUGUACUAGUGCGAAUAUGGCACUGAAUACAGUUAAUCAAAAUUUUGCGAAAUGUAGUUAGUGCAAAACAGUGAAGCGAAAAUGUUUGGCUGACAUGCAAAGUGAUUGAAAAUAUUCAGGCAUUACGAAAAAGCAAUGAAAUUUAUGCAAAAAUGUGCGAGAGCAUAAAUAUAUAGUAAAUAUAACGGAAUAUAACGGCAAGGUGCUACACAUAGAAUACAGUGAUGGCCACGAGAACUGCGUGUGACUGCAAUUUAAAUUAGCAACGAUUUAACGGUAUAUUUUAGUGAAAAAUAAAACAAAUAUUUAUUUAGUAAGCGUUAAGUGUAUUAUAGAUAAUAAACUGCAUAGUCAAAGCGUUGUUUUGUGUUUUUGAAUAAUUCAUUUAGCUAUAAAGGGCAAUUAAAAAACUAACGGUAAUCAAAACUAGCGAGAAAGAAAUAAUUCAAUAAAAUAGCAAAAGCGUUCUUAUUGGUGUCUAUUAAGUGUUAAAAUAUUACAGUUAACUUAUUAACGUAUAAUUAUGCAAAUAUUAUGCAAAUAGUCAGUAAAUAUAUAAAUAAAUGUUUAUUUAGAAAUGCAAAAAACAGUCGACAGCGCUGAACCAUUAUAAUGGCAACAGCGAAAGUGAGCGAAAAUAGUGAAAAUAGUUUACAAAAACGUUUAAAUAAGUGUUAGAAAAAAUAUUAUUAUAUAAGUAGUUAAAUAUAGCUGACGCGCAAGUGCAAAAAAUAGUAAAAAAA